AAGAAUGUAGCCAAAUUGGUUAAGGCUGCAGUUUUUGAUACUGCCAUUUUAUUGGUUCAAGUCCAAUCAUUCUUG
rnacentral:tRNA from 5 species